rnacentral:rRNA from 1 species
AGCGAACGCUGGCGGCAGGCCUAACACAUGCAAGUCGAGCGAGCCCUUCGGGGUUAGCGGCGGACGGGUGAGUAACGCGUGGGAACGUGCCUUUCUCUGCGGAAUAGCCCCGGGAAACUGAUACUAAUACCGCAUACGCCCUUUGGGGGAAAGAUUUAUCGGGUUUAGAGCGGCCCGCGUUUGAUUAGGUAGUUGGUUGGGGUAAUGGCCCACCAAGGCGACGAUCAGUAGCUGGUUUGAGAGGAUGAUCAGCCACAUUGGGACUGAGACACGGCCCAAACUCCUACGGGAGGCAGCAGUGGGGAAUCUUAGACAAUGGGCGAAAGCCUGACGUAGCCAUGCCGCGUGAAUGAUGAAGGUCUUAGGAUUGUAAAACUCUUUCAGCUGGGAAGAUAAUGACGGUACCCGCAGAAGAAGCCCCGGCUAACUCCGUG